rnacentral:rRNA from 1 species
UCUGGUUGAUCCUGCCAGUAGUCAUAUGCUUGUCUCAAAGAUUAAGCCAUGCAUGUCUAAGUAUAAAUAGUAUACAGUGAAACUGCGAAUGGCUCAUUAAAACAGUUAUAGUUUAUUUGAUAAUUGACAAUUACAUGGAUAACCGUGGUAAUUCUAGAGCUAAUACAUGCUUAAACGCCCGACUUUAUGGAAGGGUGGUAUUUAUUAGACUGAAGCCAAUAUUCCUUGUGUCUAUUGCGGUGAUUCAUAAUAACUGAUCGAAUCUCUUUUUGAGAUAAAUCAUUCAAGUUUCUGCCCUAUCAGCUUUCGAUGGUAGUGUAUUGGACUACCAUGGCAGUAACGGGUAACGAAGAAUUAGGGUUCGAUUUCGGAGAGGGAGCAUGAGAAACGGCUACCACAUCUAAGGAAGGCAGCAGGCGCGUAAAUUACCCAAUCCUGACUCAGGGAGGUAGUGACAAGAAAUAGCAAACCGGGAACCUCAUGGUUUCACGGUAUUGCAAUGAGAACAAUUUAAAACCCUUAGCGAGAUUCAAGUGGAGGACAAGUCUGGUGCCAGCACCCGCGGUAAUUCCAGCUCCACUAGCGUAUAUUAAAGUUGUUGCAGUUAAAAAGCUCGUAGUUGAACCUCUGUCUGGGGCUAGUUUUGGCUUUGGUCAGGCUAGUUCUAGGCAUCCGCCUACAAGACUUAGAGGGCAUUCAGUUGUUCACUAGGAGGAGUAGGCAUUUUACUUUGAAAAAAUUAGAGUGUUUAAGGCAGGCAAUCGCCCGCAUAUAUUAGCAUGGAAUAAUAGAAUAGGACACUUUUCCAUUUCGUUGGUUAUUGGAAUCGUGUAAUGAUUAAUAGGGACAGUUGUGGGCAUUUGUAUUUAAUUGUCAGAGGUGAAAUUCUUGGAUUUAUUAAAGACAAACUAACGCGAAAGCAUUUGCCAAGGAUGUUUUCAUUAAUCAAGAACGAAAGUUAGGGGAUCAAAGACGAUCAGAUACCGUCCUAGUCUUAACUAUAAACUAUUCCGACUCAAUGUUUGACUGGCUUAUAUAACCAGUUGAGCGUUGUAUGAGAAAUCAAAGUCUUUAGGUUCUGGGGGGAGUAUGGUUGCAAAGCUGAAACAUAAAGGAAUUGACGGAAGAGCACAACCAGGAGUGGAUUCUGCGGCUUAAUUUGACUCAACACGGGGAAACUUACCAGGUUAAAACAAUAGUGGGAUUGACAGUUUGAGAGCGCUUUCUUGAUUGGUUGGGUGGUGGUGCAUGGCCGUUCUUAGUUGGUGGAGUGAUUUGUCUGCUUAAUUGCGUUAACGAACGAGACCUUAAUC